AUAUUGGUCAAUGGACGAGAGUCUGAACCAGCCAAGUAGCGUGAAGGAUGACUGCCCUAUGGGUUGUAAACUUCUUUUAUAUGGGAAUAAAGUGAGCCACGUGUGGCUUUUUGUAUGUACCAUACGAAUAAGGAUCGGCUAACUCCGUGCCAGCAGCCGCGGUAAUACGGAGGAUCCGAGCGUUAUCCGGAUUUAUUGGGUUUAAAGGGAGCGUAGGCGGACUAUUAAGUCAGCUGUGAAAGUUUGCGGCUCAACCGUAAAAUUGCAGUUGAUACUGGUCGUCUUGAGUGCAGUAGAGGUAGGCGGAAUUCGUGGUGUAGCGGUGAAAUGCUUAGAUAUCACGAAGAACUCCGAUUGCGAAGGCAGCUUACUGGACUGUAACUGACGCUGAUGCUCGAAAGUGUGGGUAUCAAACAGGAUUAGAUACCCUGGUAGUCCACACAGUAAACGAUGAAUACUCGCUGUUUGCGAUAUACAGUAAGCGGCCAAGCGAAAGCAUUAAGUAUUCCACCUGGGGAGUACGCCGGCAACGGUGAAACUCAAAGGAAUUGACGGGGGCCCGCACAAGCGGAGGAACAUGUGGUUUAAUUCGAUGAUACGCGAGGAACCUUACCCGGGCUUAAAUUGCAACUGACGGAAUCGGAAACGGUUCUUUCUUCGGACAGUUGUGAAGGUGCUGCAUGGUUGUCGUCAGCUCGUGCCGUGAGGUGUCGGCUUAAGUGCCAUAACGAGCGCAACCCUUACGGGUAGUUACCAUCAGGUUAUGCUGGGGACUCUACCCGGACUGCCGUCGUAAGAUGUGAGGAAGGUGGGGAUGACGUCAAAUCAGCACGGCCCUUACGUCCGGGGCUACACACGUGUUACAAUGGGGGGUACAGAAGGCAGCUACACGGCGACGUGGUGCUAAUCCCAAAAGCCUCUCUCAGUUCGGAUUGGAGUCUGCAACCCGACUCCAUGAAGCUGGAUUCGCUAGUAAUCGCGCAUCAGCCACGGCGCGGUGAAUACGUUCCCGGGCCUUGUACACACCGCCCGUCAAGCCAUGAAAGCCGGGGG
rnacentral:rRNA from 1 species